rnacentral:rRNA from 1 species
AUGAACGCUGGCGGCGUGCCUAAUACAUGCAAGUCGAGCGAACGGACGAGAAGCUUGCUUCUCUGAUGUUAGCGGCGGACGGGUGAGUAACACGUGGAUAACCUACCUAUAAGACUGGGAUAACUUCGGGAAACCGGAGCUAAUACCGGAUAAUAUUUUGAACCGCAUGGUUCAAAAGUGAAAGACGGUCUUGCUGUCACUUAUAGAUGGAUCCGCGCUGCAUUAGCUAGUUGGUAAGGUAACGGCUUACCAAGGCAACGAUGCAUAGCCGACCUGAGAGGGUGAUCGGCCACACUGGAACUGAGACACGGUCCAGACUCCUACGGGAGGCAGCAGUAGGGAAUCUUCCGCAAUGGGCGAAAGCCUGACGGAGCAACGCCGCGUGAGUGAUGAAGGUCUUCGGAUCGUAAAACUCUGUUAUUAGGGAAGAACAUAUGUGUAAGUAACUGUGCACAUCUUGACGGUACCUAAUCAGAAAGCCACGGCUAACUACGUGC